CAGUCGCCGCGGGAAUACGAAGGGGGCUAGCGUUGCUCGGAAUGACUGGGCGUAAAGGGCGUGUAGGCGGCCUGGGGCGUCCCAUGUGAAAGGCCACGGCUCAACCGUGGAGGAGCGUGGGAUACGCUCAGGCUAGAGGGUGGGAGAUGGUGGUGGAAUUCCCGGAGUAGCGGUGAAAUGCGCAGAUACCGGGAGGAACGCCGAUGGCGAAGGCAGCCACCUGGUCCACUUCUGACGCUGAGGCGCGAAAGCGUGGGGAGCAAACCGGAUUAGAUACCCGUGUAGUCCCUGUCUCUUAUAA
rnacentral:rRNA from 1 species